GUCAGCAUUUCAAACAAAAUAUGUACAAGUCAAACAAAAAUCCUGAUUUUUCCCUGGAUUUGGACUGUCCUUUUACAUUUGGGGUGCAUAAAUAAUUAAUCAUACAAUAUUUAAUGUCAAAUCUUAAAGAACAAAAAGAAACAAAAACGAUGUACGAAUAUGCAUUGGGUGAUUGGCUGAUCCGUCUAACCAUAUCAACCGGCGUGCGGGGCACCUACACUGGAUGGUGAACCUUGGCCCGCAGGCGUUGUCACACUCCGUGGUGUUUGAAUCUUCUUUGUCUUGUGAAUAUGGAUCAUUUCUCUUAUUUCGUCUUCUACAAAAAAUAAAGUACGGAACAUGAGGUCCUUCCAUUGAGUUUAUAU